AAACUUAUAUAUAUAUAUAUAUAUAUAUAUAUAUAUAUAUAUAUAUAUAUAUAUAUAUAUAUAUAUAAAUAUAUAUAUAUAUAUAUAUAUAUAUAUAUAUAUAUAUAUACACUGUAACAAAUUUCUGUAGUUUUCACAGCAUUAUUACUGUAAAAUGAGCAAAUGCUUACUGUAGAACCUGUAUACAGCAUGUUACUGUAGAUUUGCAAAGCAUCAUGGUCAAUUUUCAAUGGCGGGUAAAUUCUACAGUAAAAAUAUUUUUUUCUGUGAAUCACAAUACAGCAAUUUCUAGAGGAUUUUUUUUUUCCAGCCAUGGAAAGCUGAAAAGCUACGAGAUUCCACACUUUCAUCGGAAUUUUAACUUAAGAAAGCCGCUAAAGUCAACUGUCACCGCCGACACCGCGUGCGUGCGCGUGAAGCAGUGAAGCCAGCCGACCCCGACUCGACAGAAAACGCAGCUAGAGGUAAGACUUAAUACAUUUUUCAUAGGAUCAUGAUUUUUCUGUACUUCAUCGCAGGUCAAACCGCAGAAACAAGAUUGUUGAUAGCCUAAUUUGAAGUGCCAUUCCCGACAUGUGGGAGCAUAUACUGUAUUAAGAUUUGUCUUAUGUGGCAACAUUACAUUUAUAACGUCUUCAAUUUGAUUAAAGAGUAACGUUUAGCAUUGUUGAAUAAAAUUAAUUUGAAAUUGUGUGUUUGAUGUUGACGCGGUAGCCGUUUGAAUAAUCUCACUCGUUUUUUUUUUUUUUUUUUUUGCUUGCUAACGUUGGCGCCUGAAGAAUCAGACAUUUAAGCGGGCCGAUUCGAAAGUUUUAUUCAUUCGAGAGUUUUAUUAAUGACUCGUGGAAGCAUAAUAAUAUACUCGCACUGUAUUAAGAUUUUUCGAGAUCUUACUCGUUCUUUUAUUUACCAUUUGGUUCAUUUCUUUCAGGUUUCAGCAAAGAGGCCUCAACAAUCGUUCCAGGUACAUAAGUUCAUGAACUAGCAUGUAACUUAUACAAUGUUUUUCAAAUGCAAACAAUGUUGUUUCUCUUAAGACACAAUCCCUAGAUAUGUUAAUGUUUAUGUAAACAAAAAGUGCAUAUUGAUGCUAAUUUUAUUUGUUAUUUGCUGGUUUUCGACAUAAAACUUGGUGAAUUGAUUUCCUUAGUAUUAGUACUUUUUGAACAGGAUUCUGUGAUAACCGUGAUAAUUUGUCACCAUAAUCAUGAAAUGAAAUGUUCAUGCCAUUUCAUCUCUAGUUAUGAUCAACUAAUUAUGUGUUUUUUACAGUAUAAUAUGUAAAGUACAAUUUUCUAUUAAAAAAAUUAUAUCUGAUUCUGUUCUUUUCUCUGACACACGUUGUUGGGUGUGGAAGGUUACUAAUGUGAUUGCUUUAUCUGUAAAUUAAAUUAAAUGCUUUUUCAAUUACUGAAUUCAUUGAAAUAAAAUGAAUUCUUUGAUUUGAAUAUUUUUGGCAAUGCGUCCUGUAGGUCUUAAAUUUCAAUCUUUAUGGUCUUAAAUGUCUUAAAAAAAGGUCUUAAAUUUGACUUGCUGAAACCUGCAAGAACCUUGCUCUAUAUAUAGUAAGAUUCUCACGACAGGUUUUUUUUUUUUUUCUUGGAUAGAGUAAUGCAUGAUGUUUUUAUUUACAGAUUCUUCAUCGGGAUAAAUCCAGAGCACAGCAAGUGCAAUUCAAAGGUCCAGGUUAGCCGAGGAACUGGGAAGGUGGUCCAAAGAAAAAACGAGUCCCUCAAUCCACACAUGGCAUUGUUCAUCAGGGACUUCAUUGAUUAUGACUGGAAGAACAACUAAUACCAGGUGAGACUGUUAAUUGUUACCUUGAAUACUCUGGGUUACUGUCAUUCUAAAUCCCACUUUUAACCCCAGGUAAAGGAACAUUUAAAAAAUUGUAAUUUAGAAAUGGGGUUAUCAGCGCUUUUUACCAGGGGCUCAAAACAGUUCAAACACACAAAUAAUUACAUUAUUUGUGUAUUUAUGAACUAUGCUUACCUGUAAAUAUUGUAUGGUCCAGAGCUUUAAAAUGGCUUCUGGAAGCCAGUUUGGGUGGGUAGUUGGUGGUCGCAGCUUGUCUAUUAAAAUACAUAUGUGCCCCGCCAAGCAUAAUUUAAAAGUCAUGCCGUUUCACAGCUUCAGCACUAGGUGAUAAGACUAGCACUGACAUUCUCAACCACACUGAACUGUGUGUGACAACAUCCUGUUAGAAAAUCUUUUCCAUUCACAAAUCACAAACAUUUACCAUAAAUUUUAAACAUGUAAACACAGUAUUGUGGCAGAAAAUUUUAUAAUAAUAUUAAUAUAGAUAGUUAUUAAAUAUUAAAGUAAUGACAUUCAUGGCAAAUGUAAGAAACCAAUACUGUUUAAUAAGAGUAGAGCUGCGACUCCGUAAGAAUAUUAGAAUUUUAUUCUUUAAAAAUGAGGUUGUAAAUUUUACAGAUGUUACGGUUUGUAUUAAUAAAACUAAAUUUACAUUUUGUGUCUUAAUAAAAGCUAUAAAAAAUAAAUAAAUCACCCCCCAGGGAUGCUACUCCACAAACCACCAACAGAGCAUAUAAAAUAUCAAAAAUACAAAUAUUUAUUUAAAAGACUGUUUGUUAAGCUGUUUCAUGACUAACAUCACUCUCUCUGGGUCAGCGGCAGCGCCAACACAGAUUUGAAUGUUGCGAUAUGAUUUUGUCAAAGUUUAAUAGACAGACAAAUUGAAAGGUUUAGAAUCUACGUGAUAGCUAGGUGAAUCGAUUUUUCUCUCCAAGCCCUAAUAUAUAUGUAAAUGUGUGUUUUAAGUAAGAGUUUUGGUUUAUAGAGAAGUGGACAUUGUAUUACAUAUUGAUUGGCUAAAUUAAAUGUUCCAAUCAAACUUUUAUACUGUAUAUAUAGUCAUCAACCCAUCUGUCUUGCUUAUAAACUUUUCCAUUAAUAAUUAAUUUCUUCCACUGCAGGGUAGAAGACUCCAGGCCAGGAAAUUGACUAGUUCAGGCCCGUUUUUGAAGAAAAAUACAGUUCUGGGAGAAAAACAACGUUCAGGGACCAAAUUCUACUGUUUGAAAUCCUGCUGUUUUUAAAUCAUUUAAUUUGUCUUUUAUACAUUCUAAUUUUAACCGAACAUUUUAAUACAUUUGAACAGGAUUGAUUUGUAUGUUCAGAAAAGUGUUGUUGUAUACAAAACGAAAUGAAAUUUUAACAGAAAAAUGUUACCUAUUGAAAAUUGUUUUUGCUAUGCUAUUUUUAUUUUAUGAAUUUAGAAAUUUAAAGUGUGAAAAGUUGUCAAUAAAGGGCAUUUUUGUGACAAAAACAGUGUCUUCAUUUUACAGUACACAAAAUUAAUGCAGUAAUCCCUAUUACAGUAGUAAAAUAUGUGAGGUGAUGAAACACAGUACUGUGAUUAUUACUGUAAAAAAGUUUACAGUAUUUUUAAAGUUACUGCAAUUAAGUUUACAGUAAGUAUACUGUGAAAUGAACUACAGCAACUUACUAGCUAAUUGCUGCCAGCAAGUUACUGUAAAUUUCACAGUAUUCUAUUUACAGUGUAUAUAUAUAUAUAUAUAUAUAUAUAUAUAUCUUUGAAAACAUGGCAAGGUUAGCUGAGGUGGUAACAUGCCAUGUGGAACAGAAAAUAAACUGUAUUACAUUUU
ensembl:lncRNA